UACGUAGGGGGCAAGCGUUGUCCGGAAUCAUUGGGCGUAAAGCGCGUGUAGGCGGCUACGCAGGUCCGUUGUGAAAACUGGAGGCUCAACCUCCAGACGUCGACGGAAACCGUGUGGCUAGAGUCCGGAAGAGGAGAGUGGAAUUCCUGGUGUAGCGGUGAAAUGCGCAGAUAUCAGGAAGAACACCAAUGGCGAAGGCAGCUCUCUGGGACGGUACUGACGCUGAGACGCGAAAGCGUGGGGAGCGAACAGG
rnacentral:rRNA from 1 species